AUGAACGCUAGCGGCAGGCCUAAUACAUGCAAGUCGAACGGUAACAGGUGUAGCAAUACAUGCUGACGAGUGGCGCACGGGUGCGUAACGCGUAUGCAACCUUCCCUUAACUGGAGAAUAGCCCGAAGAAAUUCGGAUUAAUGCUCCAUAAUAUUGCGUCCCGGCAUCGGGAUGCUCUUAAAACUCCGGUGGUUAAGGAUGGGCAUGCGUGGCAUUAGCUAGUUGGUGAGGUAAUGGCUCACCAAGGCUACGAUGCCUAGGGGAUCUGAGAGGAUUAUCCCCCACACUGGUACUGAGACACGGACCAGACUCCUACGGGAGGCAGCAGUAAGGAAUAUUGGACAAUGGGGGCAACCCUGAUCCAGCCAUGCCGCGUGAAGGAUGAAGGACCUAUGGUUUGUAAACUUCUUUUAUAUGGUAAAAAACCACUCUACGUGUAGAGUGCUGAUUGCCGUAAGAAUAAGGGUCGGCUAACUUCGU
rnacentral:rRNA from 1 species